rnacentral:rRNA from 1 species
AACGAACGCUGGCGGCGGGCCUAACACAUGCAAGUCGAGCGCCCCGCCAGGGGAGCGGCGGCCGGGUGAGUAACGCGUGGGAAUAUGCCCUUUGCUACGGAAUAGUCUCGGGAAACUGGGGGUAAUACCGUAUACGCCCUUUGGGGGAAAGAUUUAUCGGCGAAGGAUUAGCCCGCGUUGGAUUAGGUAGUUGGUGGGGUAAUGGCCUACCAAGCCGACGAUCCAUAGCUGGUUUGAGAGGAUGAUCAGCCACACUGGGACUGAGACACGGCCCAGACUCCUACGGGAGGCAGCAGUGGGGAAUCUUAGACAAUGGGGGCAACCCUGAUCUAGCCAUGCCGCGUGAGUGAUGAAGGCCUUAGGGUUGUAAAGCUCUUUCAGCUGGGAAGAUAAUGACGGUACCAGCAGAAGAAGCCCCGGCUAACUCCGUG